rnacentral:tRNA from 1 species
CCGUCGGCCAGGCGGUCCAUGGCCCGCCGGUUGUACUCCGGCGACACCAGGUAGUUCAGGACUACCCCGUCGGC